rnacentral:rRNA from 1 species
CCUUCGGGUUGGUAAAGCAACGUUUUAUUCGUAGGAAGCGUAAAUACCAUCGGGUCAAUACCCGGUAGGGGCUGGACCGGUACCUGAGGAAUAAGCACCGGCUAACUUCGUGC